GUCAACACCAAGUAAACUUUAUAUAACAUCUCAAAUCUCACUAUUCACUCAUAAGCGCACAACCAGCAUACCACCACAAAUUCGUCGCCUUCGUCACCUAGGUGCAUAUAUUCAUCGAACCUACGGCCAAAUCUCUAAAAUCUAUUGAUUACACCCAAUAAACUUCCAAAUCGUUUCUCAAAACCAUGAAAUCUCAAUGCUUCACGUCUUCUCCACCGCACAUCUCCUCCUUCAUUACCACUAUCAACCUCCACCGUCGUAACCACUUUGCUUCAGGUAAGACCAAUUCGGCUUCAACAACGAUGAUGUCCUACCCCAGGUUUCCGAAAAUGACCACUAACAACUACACCAUCAUUGCACAAUGUCGUUCAAAAAUCCUAAGGCAUUGUUUCCACCAAUACAAACCACCAAGUUCGUGUUCUUCAUAUUUAGUCUGAUUUUCCAUCGUAUUUAUUAAAUAAUGAUAUUUUUUGGUGAAAUUGUUGUAGGUUUUUUAAUAUGUGUGGGCAUUGAAGAUUUUCUAUUGAAAAAAAAGCAUGGGUGAGAUCGAUAAAGAGGAUCGCCCAA
rnacentral:lncRNA from 1 species